GGUUCUGUAGCUCAGUUGGUAGAGCAUCUGACUGAAGAUCAGAGUGUCGGCGGUUCGAUUCCGUCCAGAACCACCA
rnacentral:tRNA from 6 species